UACGGAGGGUGCAAGCGUUGUCCGGAUUUAUUGGGUUUAAAGGGUGCGUAGGCGGCCCGGUAAGUCAGUGGUGAAAGCCUCCAGCUCAACUGGAGAACUGCCAUUGAUACUGCCGGGCUUGAGUACAGACGAGGUUGGCGGAAUUGAUUGUGUAGCGGUGAAAUGCUUAGAUAUGACACAGAACACCGAUUGCGAAGGCAGCUAACUAAGCCAUAACUGACGCUGAUGCACGAAAGCGUGGGGAGCAAACAGG
rnacentral:rRNA from 1 species